UUCCUAUCACAUGUGAAGAGUUGAUGAAGUGAAACAAAGCCCCUGCUGCUGGAGCAGAGGUGCCUGCUGGAGUUCCACAGACACCCGCAGCCCAAAUCCCUGGAGGUCAGUGGGGCUCACGGCCUAAGGCAAUAGCUAAUUGAGACUAUGCAUCACUAUCAAGGCAUCUUCACUAAAGGGCACUGCGGAAGCGCUGCGUGAGAUGCAGCACCCGUCAGAAAGGGGGCUGCAUUUCAAAUGAGGAAUGUCGUAUUGCAUCACAAUAAAAACAGAAGAAAUACACAUGUUCUUGUGUAUAAACCCAGUUCAUGGAAGAGACAGUUUGCUUGUUCCUCCUGAUUUCUGGGCCCAGACAACCAGUAGUCACCAUUCCAAGUAACGGGUGGCCGCAACUCUACAGCCCGUUCGUCUUUCCUCACUGUCAAAGCUGCUGAGACCCCAGACUCGACACUUGAAAGAAACCCGUGUCUGUGAAGCACUUGUGGACCAUUCAAGAUUGUGGAGGAAUCACUCAAGAGAAGGAGAUAGGUGAUGGGAUCUAGCUUCUGAUGGUUUCUAUUUUAUUAAAUGUCUAAUAGAGCAAGAAUCUGAAAAACGAGAAAUUUG
rnacentral:lncRNA from 1 species